rnacentral:lncRNA from 1 species
GCAGAAAGGUGGACUUAAGUAUUUACUUGUAUUGUAGACAUGUUUUGGCUGCCCAUUUAUGAUUAAUAGUAAUAAAGGAACUCCUUUCGCUUCAGCAGUUACACAGCAGGUUUGUAAAAUGUUGAGUAUAGAUUGGAAAUUUCAUAUACCCUAUCACCCUCAGUCAUCAGGGCAAGUAGAAAAGAUGAAUAGAACGAUCAAGGAGAAAUUGACAAAAGGAGGCUUGGGUAGCACACGCAAUUGGCCAGACAAUUUACCAGCAGUUUUAGCUGAGAUCAGAAUGACCCCUAGUUCCACUACGGGUUAUUCACCAUUUGAAAUUUUAAUGGGGAGACCUUUUCCAACUUCAUGGUGUAAGUCCAAAGGUGCUCCGAUGGUGAGCGGAGACCUAAAUGUUGUGUUAUAUGUAUUGAACCUUGUAGACACAUUGAAUGGCAUCUAUGGUGAUUUGUCUCUAUCUCUUCCUCAUCCUUCAGGUACAACCACACAUCCUUUCAGGCCUGGAGACAAAGUCUUGGUGAAAUCCCUCUUCAAAUCCGGAACCUUUGAUCCAACGUACAGCCCUCUGACAACCGUUGUUGCUAUCACCAGAAGAGCCGUUCUGACCGAGGAGAACCAGAUAUGGAAUCAUGCAAGCAGAUUAAAAAGAUGUCCCAUCAAGCACUCUGGAUAUUCCAAGCAAAGAACGUUCAACCUCAGACUGAUCCAGAAUGAACAAUAGUGCUCGGUGCACCCUAAUUAUUCUUUUUUCCAUGGGACUUGGUUAUGCGCUGAUUAAUAUUAUUUGAUCCCAAAGAAAAGUGAUAGUAAAAUGUUAUUAAUAUAUUUCACUCUAAGCAGGCUUUAUCUUCUUCAUCAUGGGAAACAGACAAUCAUUUUAUUGGAUCUGUAAAGAAUUUAUACCAAGCCCUAAAUUUAAAUAAUUGUUUAAUAAACCUUAAUUCGUCCAGGAGGGAGGGACGGUCUUAUUAUAGCCAUGGCUCCCCGGAGAUUUUCUUCAGAAAUAACGGUUCUGAAGUUUUUUUUCUUCCCUGAGUGCUAUAAUAGACAAUUAAUUAAUUUACUGAUUUGUUAUUCUUUCAGAAUAAAAGAUUGGAAUGAUAUGGAUUAAUGAGCACCUUUCCCCUUAUAUCCUGUGUCACACUACACAGUAGAUUUAGUAAUGUCAGGAUGCUCUAUUAUAACAGGUGGCCUUUGAUCCUGAUUUGUAUCUUCUUCUUAUUUCCCCCCCUGCACUGCAUAUCCUGAUAACACCUUGUUGGGAAGCGUUUGUGUAAUCGAGUAACACCUUUUGACCAGCUAAUGCCAAAUGUGCUUUAAGUUCUUUGAAUAUGCAAUUGACAGGACAUGACUGUAUUAUGUGAAGACAACCCCUUUUUGGAUGUGUAUAGAAUUUUGUUAUAAGAUCUGUGUUCUCCACAUUAAAAUUAGGUGUAGUAUUCUGCCAUACACUUGUGUGAAUGAGUACUGCCCUCCGAGCUCGUAUUUCUGCUGUGUCCAUUCC